rnacentral:rRNA from 1 species
AUUGAACGCUGGCGGCAGGCCUAACACAUGCAAGUCGAGCGAGCGGCGGACGGGUGAGUAAUGUAUGGGGACUGCCCGAUAGAGGGGGAUAACUACUGGAAACGGUGGCUAAUACCGCAUACUAUCGGAUAACACAUAUGGGAUUAGCUAGUCGGUGGGGUAAAGGCUCAUCUAGGCGACGAUCCCUAGCUGGUCUGAGAGGACGAUCAGCCACACUGGGACUGAGACACGGCCCAGACUCCUACGGAGGCAGCAGUGGGGAAUAUUGCACAAUGGGCGAAAGCCUUAUGCAGCCACGCCGCGUGUAUGAAGAAGGCCUUAGGGUUGUAAAGUACUGUCAGCGGGGAGGCGUUACCUGAAGAAGAAGCAACGGCUAACUCCGUGCCAGCAGCCGCGGUAAUAC